UCCGAAAUAGUCUAGGCGGUUAGGAUACGUGGCUUUCACCCACGCGACCCGGGUUCGAGGCCCGGUUCGGGAA
rfam:Phytophthora infestans T30-4 supercont1.62 genomic scaffold, whole genome shotgun sequence.